GCGCUGGUAGUGUAGUGGCAACAUAUUAGCCUUCCAAGCUGAGGCCCGGGGUUCGAUUCCCCGUCAGCGCA